GAUGAAGAACGCAGCGAAAUGCGAUACUUGGUGUGAAUUGCAGAAUCCCGUGAACCAUCGAGUCUUUGAACGCAAGUUGCGCCUCAAGCCAUUAGGUUGAGGGCACGUCUGCCUGGGCGUCACAUAUCGUUGCCUGAUGCCAGUUUCCUCGUGAUGGGUGACUGUGCAGGGCGAAUGAUGGCUUCCCGUGAGCAUUGUUGCCUCAUGGUUGGUUGAAAAUUGAGUCCUUGGUAGGGAGCGCCGUGAUAGAUGGUGGUUGAGUGACGAACGAGACCCAAUCAUGUGAGACCCCUACCGAAUUUGGCCUUCAUGACCCACAUGCGUCUUUGGAACGCUCAUAACGAGACCUCAGGUCAGGCGGGGCUACCCGCUGAGUUUAAGCAUAUCAAUAAGCGGAGGA
rnacentral:misc_RNA from 1 species